rnacentral:rRNA from 1 species
ACUUAAAUUGAAGAGUUUGAUCAUGGCUCAGAUUGAACGCUGGCGGCAGGCCUAACACAUGCAAGUCGAACGGUAACAGGAAGCAGCUUGCUGCUUCGCUGACGAGUGGCGGACGGGUGAGUAAUGUCUGGGAAACUGCCUGAUGGAGGGGGAUAACUACUGGAAACGGUGGCUAAUACCGCAUAACGUCGCAAGACCAAAGAGGGGGACCUUCGGGCCUCUUGCCAUCAGAUGUGCCCAGAUGGGAUUAGCUAGUUGGUGAGGUAACGGCUCACCAAGGCGACGAUCCCUAGCUGGUCUGAGAGGAUGACCAGCCACACUGGAACUGAGACACGGUCCAGACUCCUACGGGAGGCAGCAGUGGGGAAUAUUGCACAAUGGGCGCAAGCCUGAUGCAGCCAUGCCGCGUGUAUGAAGAAGGCCUUCGGGUUGUAAAGUACUUUCAGCGGGGAGGAAGGUGUUGUGGUUAAUAACCGCAGCAAUUGACGUUACCCGCAGAAGAAGCACCGGCUAACUCCGUGCCAGCAGCCGCGGUAAUACGGAGGGUGCAAGCGUUAAUCGGAAUUACUGGGCGUAAAGCGCACGCAGGCGGUCUGUCAAGUCGGAUGUGAAAUCCCCGGGCUCAACCUGGGAACUGCAUUCGAAACUGGCAGGCUUGAGUCUUGUAGAGGGGGGUAGAAUUCCAGGUGUAGCGGUGAAAUGCGUAGAGAUCUGGAGGAAUACCGGUGGCGAAGGCGGCCCCCUGGACAAAGACUGACGCUCAGGUGCGAAAGCGUGGGGAGCAAACAGGAUUAGAUACCCUGGUAGUCCACGCCGUAAACGAUGUCUACUUGGAGGUUGUGCCCUUGAGGCGUGGCUUCCGGAGCUAACGCGUUAAGUAGACCGCCUGGGGAGUACGGCCGCAAGGUUAAAACUCAAAUGAAUUGACGGGGGCCCGCACAAGCGGUGGAGCAUGUGGUUUAAUUCGAUGCAACGCGAAGAACCUUACCUGGUCUUGACAUCCACAGAACUUUCCAGAGAUGGAUUGGUGCCUUCGGGAACUGUGAGACAGGUGCUGCAUGGCUGUCGUCAGCUCGUGUUGUGAAAUGUUGGGUUAAGUCCCGCAACGAGCGCAACCCUUAUCCUUUGUUGCCAGCGAUUAGGUCGGGAACUCAAAGGAGACUGCCAGUGAUAAACUGGAGGAAGGUGGGGAUGACGUCAAGUCAUCAUGGCCCUUACGACCAGGGCUACACACGUGCUACAAUGGCGCAUACAAAGAGAAGCGACCUCGCGAGAGCAAGCGGACCUCAUAAAGUGCGUCGUAGUCCGGAUUGGAGUCUGCAACUCGACUCCAUGAAGUCGGAAUCGCUAGUAAUCGUGGAUCAGAAUGCCACGGUGAAUACGUUCCCGGGCCUUGUACACACCGCCCGUCACACCAUGGGAGUGGGUUGCAAAAGAAGUAGGUAGCUUAACCUUCGGGAGGGCGCUUACCACUUUGUGAUUCAUGACUGGGGUGAAGUCGUAACAAGGUAACCGUAGGGGAACCUGCGGUUGGAUCACCUCCUUACCUUAAAGAA